CCUACGGGUGGCAGCAGUGGGGGAUAUUGCACAAUGGGGGGAACCCUGAUGCAGCGACGCCGCGUGGGUGAAGAAGCGCCUCGGCGCGUAAAGCCCUGUCAGCAGGGAAGAAAAUGACGGUACCUGAAGAAGAAGCCCCGGCUAACUACGUGCCAGCAGCCGCGGUAAUACGUAGGGGGCAAGCGUUAUCCGGAUUUACUGGGUGUAAAGGGGGCGCAGACGGGGAUGCAAGCCAGGAGUGAAAGCCCGGGGCUCAACCCCGGGACUGCUCUUGAAACUGCGUGGCUGGAGUGCAGGAGGGGCAGGCGGAAUUCGUGGUGUAGCGGUGAAAUGCGUAGAUAUCAGGAGGAACACCGGUGGCGAAGGCGGCCUGCUGGACUGCAACUGACGUUGAGGCCCGAAAGCGUGGGGAGCAAACAGGAUUAGAUACCCCAGUAGUC
rnacentral:rRNA from 1 species